CCUACGGUGCGCAGCAGUGAGGAAUAUUGGUCACUGGGCGCUAGCCUGAACCAGCCAAGUAGCGUGAAGGAUGACUGCCCUAUGGGUUGUAAACUUCUUUUAUAUGGGACUAAAGUGCGGUAUGUAUACUGCUUUGCAUGUACCUUAUGAAUACGGAUCGGCUAACUCCGUGCCAGCAGCCGCGGUAAUACGGAGGAUCCGAGCGUUAGCGGGAUGUAUUGCGGUUAAAGGGAGCGUAGGCGGGUUGUUAAGUCAGUUGUGAAAGUUUGCGGCUCAACCGUAAAAUUGCAGUUGAUACUGGCAUCCUUGAGUACAGGAGAGGUAGGCGGAAUUCGUGGGGUAGCGGUGAAAUGCGUAGAUAUCACGAAGAACUCCGAUUGCGAAGGCAGCCUGCUGGACUGUAACUGACGCUGAUGCGCGAAAGUGUGGGUAUCAAACAGGAUUAGAUACCCUGGUAGUC
rnacentral:rRNA from 1 species